UAGGGAAUCUUCGGCAAUGGACGAAAGUCUGACCGAGCAACGCCGCGUGAGUGAAGAAGGUUUUCGGAUCGUAAGACUCUGUUGUUAGAGAAGAACAAGGACGUUAGUAACUGAACGUCCCCUGACGGUAUCUAACCAGAAAGCGACGGCUAACUACGUGCCAGCAGCCGCGGUAAUACGUAGGUGGCAAGCGUUGUCCGGAUUUAUUGGGCGUAAAGCGAGCGCAGGCGGUUUCUUAAGUCUGAUGUGAAAGCCCCCGGCUCAACCGGGGAGGGUCAUUGGAAACUGGGAGACUUGAGUGCAGAAGAGGAGAGUGGAAUUCCAUGUGUAGCGGUGAAAUGCGUAGAUAUAUGGAGGAACACCAGUGGCGAAGGCGGCUCUCUGGUCUGUAACUGACGCUGAGGCUCGAAAGCGUGGGGAGCAAACAGG
rnacentral:rRNA from 1 species